rnacentral:lncRNA from 1 species
GGGGUGUAUUCAAAGUGAAAUUUCAAGUGAUUUUUAAAAAGUUUACAAAUCCAUUGUUAUUCAAUCAUGAAUUUUAAAAAGUCUCAUGAAAUCCACUGUUAUUGAAAACAAUUUGUGGAUUUGGCUUUUAAUUAUUUUGAAGGAUUUUAGAGGAUUUUGGAGGAUUUCCCUAGUUAAAAAUACAGAAAUCCAAAUGCCAUAGUUUUUGGUGAGAUUUGAAAGGAUUUUACAAAAGUCAUAUGAACUNNN